CUGCACCUCUUCCUAGAGAUGCUGCCUGGCCUGCUGCAUUCACCAGCAACUUUUAUGUGUGUUGCUUGAAUUUCCAGCAUCUGCAGAAUUCCUGUUGUUUGCGAUCAAAUGACAGACAAAAGGUUUCCAGUAAAAGAAGCAGUGGGGUUAAUGUUACAAUAAAGGGACGAGCAUAAGAAAAGAUGCAUCAUUGAGGUUUGGAAGCUCGGAGAGGAGGUGAGAGAAAUGGUGUCCUCAAAGAUUGUUAAAUGUUAGCUGUGAAGUGAACCCUGAGUUACUGUCCUGGCAGGCUUGAAAGAAAUCAAUAUGGAGGGAGUGUAAAAUGGAGAUCUUUGAGAACUGAAGAGGUAAACAGUGCUUUCUGUAGUCCUGCUGGGCGUGUCACAAGGACCGUGGUGCUCAGGUUAACAUGCAGUUGGAUAGAAAAUAGAAGAAAUAAGCUAUUCAAGCAUCCCCCGCCAUUCCAAUACAAUCAGGCUGAGCCUCUGUCGCAACACCGUACUCCCACACCUCCUGAGGACAUGUUUAGAAAUCCUAUCAACUAUUUCAAAUCAUAGAAAUAAGCUCUUUGGCCCAACUCAUCCAUGUCAACCUCAGCUAGCCCCAUUUAACCAUAUCAAUCAAAACCUUCCCUACCUAUGUACCUGCCUCAAUGUCUUUUAAACAGUGUAAUUGUACUCACCUCUACCACUUUGCUCUGGCAGUUCCUUCCAUGUACUCACAACGCACCUGUGGAAGAACUUAUUCCUCAAUUCCCAUUCACCCUCCUAAUUUUGGACUCCCCUACCAUGGGAAAAGCACUAACACACUGUAACGUUUCACUGCUAAUGGCUUCUCUGUAAUAUUCCACUGCUGAGGUAAUGGUUUCUCCCUGUAGCAGCAAUGUUUGGGUCAUGACCAGAGAUAAUGGGGCAUGCUAGCCAAUGAGCAGGAUGUUGUUCUUUCUUAUGUGUCUGGGAGGCAGGAAUUAGCAGUGUUUCGCCGGAGAGAGAUGAGCAGAGAAGACGCGAAUGGAAAGUGAUGGACGACCUCAGACGGAGUGGACUUGGAGCGAGGGUCCGAAGAUGCCGUGUGCAAAAUGCUGCCUUUGCCAUCCUGUCUACCCAUUUUUGCCUCUUUCAAGGAACUACAUACUUGCACCUGUUUAGCAGCAUCAUAUGCUCGCAGAUUUGCGGGAGGCCUUGAAUCUACGCCAUUCACUCCUGAAGUUACCACUUGCCCUUCCUGCAUUUGCCACAUUACCCACUGCUGGGACAGAAGGUGUUUUCGCUGUUACGAAGAAAGGCAGCACGUGAUAAAAGGCAGCGUGCGCCCCGAGCAGCCGCUCUGCCCCGGAUUUGGAACGGCAUUGCUUAUGCACGUUGCAUCGAGCAGCCAUUAGCAAGAUGAGUUCUAAGGUGUCGGAAAAGCCUGAAAGAGUAAAGGUGUUACACUUAGCGUAAAACUAGACAUAAUUGUCGGCCCAGAUCAGAGGCAAUGCAAUCGGCAAUCGCCUCUGAUCUGCGCCGGCAUUUAUGUGCCGGGCAGCACCCAAUUAAUUAGCAUGUUUAUUUCGGUUUUUUUGUUAACGAUGUGCUGUGUGCCUCCUGGCUACCGCUGCGUUCUUCGCGGCAAUGUAUCAGGUCGGCGGCCCAUCUAACACACCAUCAUCAGUGAGCUCGGCGCUGUUUUCCCAAUUCCAGUAAGUGAUAAUACACUGUACAUACAUUAUUUCUACUUUAUAUAGGCUGUGUAUUUUUACAUGUUAUUUGGUAGAUUUGGCAGCUUCAUAAUUUAAAGGUUACUGGAGAGCACGUUUAUGCCAACAGUGCUUGCGUGAGAUUUUCUGCCGAGAGCACUUGCGUGAGAUUUUCGCUACGGAGAUCUGUGCAGGCAAUCGUUGUAGAGAAGUAUUUCUACUUUAUAUAGGUUGUGUAUUUAUCAUAUCACUCCUGCUUUUACUAUA